rnacentral:rRNA from 1 species
UACAGAGGGCGCGAGCGUUGUCCGGAAUCACUGGGCGUAAAGGGCGCGUAGGUGGCCACUAUAAGGCCGCGGUGAAAGUCCGGAGCUCAACUCCGGAUCUGCCGCGGCGACUGUAGGGCUCGGGCACUGUAGAGGCAGAUGGAAUUCCGGGUGUAGCGGUGGAAUGCGUAGAGAUCCGGAAGAACACCAGUGGCGAAGGCGGUCUGCUGGGCAGUGGGGGCGCAAGCCCCUUUUAGCCGACACUGAGGCGCGACAGCGUGGGGAGCAAACAGG